ACGGGGGGUGCAAGCGUUGUUCGGAAUUACUGGGCGUAAAGCGCGCGUAGGCGGCUUGGUAAGUCAGGGGUGAAAGCCCUGGGCUCAACCCAGGAAGUGCAUUUGAUACUGCCUGGCUUGAGUACGGGAGAGGAGAGCGGAAUUCCUGGUGUAGAGGUGAAAUUCGUAGAUAUCAGGAGGAACACCGGUGGCGAAGGCGGCUCACUGGCCCAAUACUGACGCUGAGGCGCGAAAGCGUGGGGAGCAAACAG
rnacentral:rRNA from 1 species